rnacentral:rRNA from 1 species
AUUGGUUUCUCCCUUCUGACGAACCAAGAUGUCAUUAAUUUGGUGUCUUGGGGAAUCAGGACUGUUACUUUGAAAAAAUUAGAGUGUUUAAAGCAGGCUCGCGCUUGAAUACAUUAGCAUGGAAUAAUGAAAUAGGACGUUUGAUUCUAUUUUGUUGGUUUCUAGGAUCGACGUAAUGAUUAAUAGGGAUAGUUGGGGGCAUUAGUAUUCAAUUGUCAGAGGUGAAAUUCUUGGAUUUAUUGAAGACUAACUACUGCGAAAGCAUUUGCCAAGGAUGUUUUCAUUAAUCAAGAACGAAAGUUAGGGGAUCGAAGACGAUCAGAUACCGUCGUAGUCUUAACCAUAAACUAUGCCGACUAGGGAUCGGAUGAUGUUAAUUUUUUAAUGACUCAUUCGGCGCCUUACG